rnacentral:ncRNA from 1 species
AGUUUCUGAGGACGGAACUGGUAGCCGUAGCCCAUCAAAAGAUGUAGGAGAUGUGGGAGUACCACCCCACCUAAACU